rnacentral:rRNA from 1 species
CCUACGGGACGCAGCAGUGAGGAAUAUUGGUCAAUGGGCGGAAGCCUGAACCAGCCAAGUCGCGUGAGGGAAUAAGGCCCUACGGGUCGUAAACUUCUUUUAUAAAGGAAUAAAACGAGGCACGUGUGCCUUUUUGCAUGUACUUUAUGAAUAGGGAUCGGCUAACUCCGUGCCAGCAGCCGCGGUAAUACGGAGGAUCCGAGCGUUAUCCGGAUUUAUUGGGUUUAAAGGGAGCGUAGAUGGGUUGUUAAGUCAGUUGUGAAAGUUUGCGGCUCAACCGUAAAAUUGCAAUUGAUACUGGCAGG